rnacentral:rRNA from 1 species
GACGAACGCUGGCGGCGCGCCUAACACAUGCAAGUCGAACGAGCGAGAGAGAGCUUGCUUUCUCGAGCGAGUGGCGAACGGGUGAGUAACGCGUGAGGAACCUGCCUCAAAGAGGGGGACAACAGUUGGAAACGACUGCUAAUACCGCAUAAGCCCACGACCCGGCAUCGGGUAGAGGGAAAAGGAGCAAUCCGCUUUGAGAUGGCCUCGCGUCCGAUUAGCUAGUUGGUGAGGUAAUGGCCCACCAAGGCGACGAUCGGUAGCCGGACUGAGAGGUUGAACGGCCACAUUGGGACUGAGACACGGCCCAGACUCCUACGGGAGGCAGCAGUGGGGAAUAUUGCACAAUGGGGGAAACCCUGAUGCAGCGACGCCGCGUGGAGGAAGAAGGUCUUCGGGAUUGUAAACUCCUGUUGUUGAGGAAGAUAAUGACGGUACUCAACAAGGAAGUGACGGCUAACUACGUG